CUGCGAAUGGCUCAUUAUAUAAGUUAUCGUUUAUUUGAUAGUACCUUACUACUUGGAUAACCGUGGUAAUUCUAGAGCUAAUACAUGCUAAAAAUCCCGACUCUGGAAGGGAUGUAUUUAUUAGAUUAAAAACCAAUGCCCUCUGGGCUCUCUGGUGAUUCAUAAUAACUUCUCGAAUCGCACGGCCUUGCGCCGGCGAUGGUUCAUUCAAAUUUCUUCCCUAUCAACUUUCGAUGUUUGGGUAGUGGCCAAACAUGGUUGCAACGGGUAACGGAGGGUUAGGGCUCGACCCCGGAGAAGGAGCCUGAGAAACGGCUACUACAUCCAAGGAAGGCAGCAGGCGCGCAAAUUACCCAAUCCCGAUUCGGGGAGGUAGUGACAAUAAAUACUGAUACAGGGCUCUUUUGGGUCUUGUAAUUGGAAUGAGUACAAUUUAAAUCCCUUAACGAGGAACAAUUGGAGGGCAAGUCUGGUGCCAGCAGCCGCGGUAAUUCCAGCUCCAAUAGCGUAUAUUAAAGUUGUUGUGGUUAAAAAGCUCGUAGUUGAACCUUGGGCCUGGCUGGCCGGUCCGCCUCACCGCGUGUACUGGUCCGGCCGGGCCUUUCACUCUGCGGAACCCCAUGCCCUUCACUGGGUGUGGCGGGGAAGCAGGACUUUUACUUUGAAAAAAUUAGAGUGCUCCAGGCAGGCCUAUGCUCGAAUACAUUAGCAUGGAAUAAUAAAAUAGGACGUGCGGUUCUAUUUUGUUGGUUUCUAGGACCGCCGUAAUGAUUAAUAGGGACAGUCGGGGGCAUCAGUAUUCAAUUGUCAGAGGUGAAAUUCUUGGAUUUAUUGAAGACUAACUACUGCGAAAGCAUUUGCCAAGGAUGUUUUCAUUAAUCAGGAACGAAAGUUAGGGGAUCGAAGACGAUCAGAUACCGUCGUAGUCUUAACCAUAAACUAUGCCGACUAGGGAUCGGACGAUGUUAUUUUUUGACUCGUUCGGCACCUUACGAGAAAUCAAAGUGC
rnacentral:rRNA from 1 species